UACGGGGGGGGCAAGCGUUGUUCGGAAUUACUGGGCGUAAAGCGUCCGCAGGUGGCAGUUCAAGUCUGCUGUCAAAGACCGGGGCUUAACUUCGGAAAGGCAGUGGAAACUGAACAGCUAGAGUAUGGUAGGGGCAGAGGGAAUUCCUGGUGUAGCGGUGAAAUGCGUAGAGAUCAGGAAGAACAUCGGUGGCGAAGGCGCUCUGCUGGACCAUAACUGACACUCAGGGACGAAAGCUAGGGGAGCGAAUGGG
rnacentral:rRNA from 1 species